UUUUUUUUUUUUUUUUUUAAUCUCGCAGAAGUAAAAUUCUGUAUCCAUUAAAUAGGAAUUCUCUCUUCCUUUCCCCCCCAGUUCCUGGCAGCCACCCUUCUGCUUUGUCUCUGAGCAUUACUGCCCUAGGAACCUCUUGCAAGAGGAAUUGUACAGUGUUGGUCCCUUUAGGGCUGGCUUAUUUUACUUAGUGUAAUAUCUUCAGGGCUCAUCCACAUUGUAACAUGUGUCAGAAUUUCCAUCCUUUUUAAGGCUGCACAUUAUUCUAUUGUAUGUUACAUGCCACAUAUUGUCGAUCCACUCAUCUGUUAAUGGGGUCUUGGGUUGCCUCCCCUUGGGUUAUUGUGUCUAUGGGUCUGUUGCCAUGAGGGAUCAGGAGUAGAGUCAGUUCUGUUUGUGUAAAGGAACCUCUGGAGAGCUUCGAAAUAUUUUGAAAUAGAGGAAGAACAACCAGCCACCUGGAUCUCCAGGAGUAAUUCAGCCGACUAUCUGAUUGUGUGCUCAAGUUUUCAUUAACUUGAGGAGGGAGCAGGCAGGCAGACCUUAAUGUAGAGGAAAUGAGAAGCAGAGACAGCGAAGGAUGUUCAGAGAGUCAUUUUGGUACGUAAUGGUGAAACUUAGAGAAGAGGGAGAAAGGGCUCGACUGCCUCCACACAGCAGAGGGUUUGUGCAGUUUACCCUGCAGAAUGUAAGCCGCACAGGAGACAAAUGCAGGUGAGCUUUUAUUUUGUGGAACUACCUGUGUCUUUUAGAUGGAGGAACGGGCACCAGAGUGCAGAGGCUCCUUCUCCAGGAUGGGGCCAAGGUCCUCUGGCUCCUGGGGGAGGCGUGCUGGGCCCUUCCUGAGCUGCUGGCACCAAGUGCCUUGCCACCCCGGAGGACUUCUGGCCUCCCCAGAGUUCCCUGGGUGGAGUUUGGUGACUUCCCUUUGAUCUCUGACUGUAGGUAUGUGUUGCUUAUUAAUAAGAAUAUUAUACUAUUGCUAAUUCCAGACUAUGUAUCUUGACCACUGUGAAAAGACCACCAAAUGGAAAGGAUUUGAAAGGAACCAUUUCUUUUCAGAAACUUCCCAGAUGUAGUGUACAGCGCAUCCUCCACAGCUGCCUUGUGCUGGCUCUCAUCAUACCCAUCAAACCAUGUGUUCAGCCAGUUGCAUGUGUCCAGAUAGAACCAUAGGAAAAUUUGAUGAAUGUAUGUGUUGCCCUUUAUUAUUUAUUAUCCAUGUUAUAUUUUUCUUACCUCAACUAAUUAGCUUCUCAUUCCUUUAAGUCCUCACAGCACAAGGUUGCCACUGACUUCUCUUCCCCUCACUUAACCUUGCAUGAUAUUUGGUUUUUAACAACGCACAUUAUUCCAGAAGAAUGUCUUGUUUAAUAGUUGUCAGAAAGAAAGAGCUCAGGGGCGCCUGGCUGGGUCAGUUCAUAGAGCAUGCUACUCUCAAUCUUGGGAGUUAUGAGUUUGAGCCCCACAUUGGGUAUAGAGAUAACUGAAAAAUAAAAUCAGAAAGAAAAAGAGAGAGAGAGAGAAGAAAAGAAGAGAAAAGAGAGAGCUCCAUAAGAUAGGAAGGUGUGAAUGAUGAUGUUAAGGAUUCUGGGGCAAAAAGGAUUGCAACCAUUUUCUUUGAUUAGGUCUCAGGAAGCACUUUGAAUUUUACAUGGUCAUCCUAUGAUUCUAUCCCAAACUAUUCUUCCUGCCUUUUCCUAGAUGAUUUUAUUGCAAAGCAGCAGCAAAGUAUGACUUGUCUUUUCUACUAAAGCCUUAAAAGAUAGUUUAUUCCCAAAUGUAAACAUUUUAGUAAGCCUUUUGUUUAGUGACUCAUUAAUUUGAUGAGGGAAAAUGUCCUAAUAAAGAUAAAGAAACUGUAAACUGUUUCAAAAGCUGCAGAGGGAAAAAUGUUAGGGCUCUGUAGGUCAACUACUUCCCCUUGUUCUUUGCAUUUCAUUUGUUGCUUGGUCAUGGGAACAGAUAAACUGGUCAUUUAAGGUUAUGUCCUCAUCUUAAUUCUCUUCUAUAAAUUUAUACAUACACACUAAAUCCUGGAUGUUUUACUACUGUAGUGUGUCUCUUUGUAUGAACAGGGACUACGUAUGGAUUGAGUUAUUUUAUGAAAAAUAGCAAAUCCAAUUUCCCUCUUUCACAAAAUAGUACAUUAAAUGUGUCACUAAGUUAGCACCAAGGAAAAGCUUGGUUAAUUUUUACUAGCAAACAGUUUGAUCUUCCCAGAAAUAUCAUAAACACUGAGGAUGAAGAGUCAAAGAUCCCUAAGUAGAAUCAAAGAUAUGAGAGAAUAGGAAAUCACCCUAGUACUGACUGUGGUUACAUAAGGCAUAAUCUGCAUUAUCCAUUCCGUGUACAGUUACUCUGGAGGUAUUAUGACCUUAUGUUCUACAUACUUUUGGUAAGAUUAAAUGUUCCAGCAUGGAUGUAACUACUUCUAGGUUUUAUAUGAGUGUUAAAUGAAGUAUAAACUUACUCCAUGCAAAAUACUCUUUGUAACAAAAGCAUAUCAAUCUUUAUUAAAUCCAGGAGUAAACAUCAUAGAGGAUUUAUUUUUUUUUUCAUAGAGGAUUUAAAACAGUUAUCUAACCCACUUAUAAACUGGAAGAGAAAAAAAUAAAAAUUUUUUAAAAAUUAAAAAAAAAAA
rnacentral:lncRNA from 1 species